GGCACCAUGGCCUAAUGGUAAGGCGUUGCUUUCCGGCUAACUACCCUGGCAAAGAUUAUGGGUUCGAGUCCCAUUGGUGUCG